CUUGCUUCGAGGGGAUCAGUGGCGAACGGGUGAGUAACACGUGAGUAACCUGCCCCGGACUCUGGAAUAAGCGCUGGAAACGGCGUCUAAUACCGGAUACGAGACGCAACCGCAUGGUUAGCGUCUGGAAAGUUUUUCGGUCUGGGAUGGACUCGCGGCCUAUCAGCUUGUUGGUGAGGUAAUGGCUCACCAAGGCGACGACGGGUAGCCGGCCUGAGAGGGCGACCGGCCACACUGGGACUGAGACACGGCCCAGACUCCUACGGGAGGCAGCAGUGGGGAAUAUUGCACAAUGGGCGAAAGCCUGAUGCAGCGACGCCGCGUGAGGGAUGACGGCCUUCGGGUUGUAAACCUCUUUCAGCAGGGAAGAAGCGAAAGUGACGGUACCUGCAGAAGAAGCACCGGCUAACUACGUGCCAGCAGCCGCGGUAAUACGUAGGGUGCGAGCGUUGUCCGGAAUUAUUGGGCGUAAAGAGCUUGUAGGCGGUUUGUCGCGUCUGCUGUGAAAAUCCGGGGCUCAACCCCGGACUUGCAGUGGGUACGGGCAGACUAGAGUGUGGUAGGGGAGACUGGAAUUCCUGGUGUAGCGGUGAAAUGCGCAGAUAUCAGGAGGAACACCGAUGGCGAAGGCAGGUCUCUGGGCCACUACUGACGCUGAGAAGCGAAAGCAUGGGGAGCGAACAGGAUUAGAUACCCUGGUAGUCCAUGCCGUAAACGUUGGGCGCUAGGUGUGGGACUCAUUCCACGAGUUCCGUGCCGCAGCUAACGCAUUAAGCGCCCCGCCUGGGGAGUACGGCCGCAAGGCUAAACUCAAAGGAAUUGACGGGGGCCCGCACAAGCGGCGGAGCAUGCGGAUUA
rnacentral:rRNA from 1 species